CCUACGGGUGGCAGCAGUGAGGAAUAUUGGUCAAUGGACGAGAGCCUGAACCAGCCAAGUAGCGUGAAGGAUGACUGCCCUAUGGGUUGUAAACUUCUUUUAUAAAGGAAUAAAACGAGGCACGUGUGCCUUUUUGCAUGUACUUUACGAACAAGGAUCGGCCAACCCCGUGCCAGCGGCGGCGGUAAUACGGAGGAUCCGAGCGUUAUCCGGAUUUGUUGGUGUUAACGGGGGCGUAGCGGGGCAUUUAAGCCGGCGGUCAAAUGUCGGGGCUCAACCCCGGCCUGCCGUCGGAACUGGGAGCCUUGAGUGGGCGAGAGGUAUGCGGAAUGCGAGGUGUAGCAGUGAAAUGCAUAGAUAUCACGAGGAACCCCGGUGGCGAAGGCAGCAUACCGGCGCCCAACUGACGCUGAGGCACGAAAGUGCGGGUAGCGAACAGGAUUAGAUACCCGAGUAGUC
rnacentral:rRNA from 1 species